rnacentral:lncRNA from 1 species
UUUCUAAUUUGGAAAAAAAGAUAGCCAAUGUCUAGGCAGACUGAAAAGCUCACGGAAGGACUGACUCUACAUGUCAGAUACUCAGAUAAGUGUUUCAUACAAGAAGAUUUGAGGCCGGGCGCGGUGGCUCAAGCCUGUAGCCCCAGCACUUUGGGAAGCUGAGGCGGGCAGAUCACGAGGUCAGGAGAUCGAGACCAUCCUAUCCUGGCUAACAUGGUGAAACCCCGUCUCUACUAAAAAUACAAAAAAAUUAGCCGGGCGUGGUGGCGGGCGCCUGGAGUCCCAGCUACUCUGUAGGCUGAGGCAGGAGAAUGGCGUGAACCUGGGAGGCGGAGCUUGCAGUGAGCUGGGAGGCGGAGCUUGCAGUGAGCAGAGAUGGCGCCACUGCACGUGAGCCUGCGUGACAGAGUGAGACUCCGUCUCAAAAAAAAAAAAAAAAAGAAAGAAAUAAGAUUUGAAAUUUUCACUACAAUUAUGCUUCCUGAAGGUAUUUUUAUAUCUGAUAUUUUGGCACUUUAAGUCUGUUUUCAAGUUGAAAUCUAGAAUUCUCUUAUCUUUAAAAGUUCUGGAGACCACUUUGCUUUGUUACCUCAACAGCAUUAUCAUUCAGGGUGCUUGACAUUCCUUAUUGCAUUGCUGUGAUGUUUAGAUAGCCUCCUCUGCCACUGAGAGCAGUGCAAGCAAGUUACAUCCUCGUGUUUUCUUCUUGUGUUAAUUUCAGACCAAUUUCUUCCCAGGAAGAAGCUGUACUUUUUUAAAUUCUAUUUUUAAUUGAAAUUUGCAUUGAUGUAAUUGUAGAUUCACAUAUAGUUGUAAGAGAUAAUACAGAGAGAUCCCUUGCUUAAUUUUUUUCCCAUAAGAACAUCUUGCAAAAUUAUAGUAUAAUAUAACAACCAGGAGAUAUAUAUGUAUGUGUGUGUGUGUGCGCGCGCGCGCGUGUGUGUGUGUGUGUGUGUGUGUGUGUGUGUAUAUAUAUAAUUAUUUUUUUUUUUUUAGAUGGAGUCUUACUCUGUUGCCCAGGCUGGAGUUCAGUGGCACGAUCUCGGCUCAGUGCAACCUCUGCCACCUGGGUUCAAGCGAUUCUCCUGCUUCAGCCUCCUGAGUAGCUGGGAUUCCAGAUUGUACUUUCGGUGUCAUGACUAAGAACUCUUUGCUGACCCCUGGAUCCUGAAGAUUUUCUUUUAUUUUUUUCCUAAGAUUUUAUAGUUUUAUUUUUUCAUUUAAGUUACAUUCAUUUGAAUUAAUUUUUAUCUGAAAAAUACUGUUUUUCUUUCACUGUAGGCUUGUCUCUGUAUAAAUUCAAUUUGAAAAUAUGGCAAUAUGUAUCUUUGAUUUUCAAAUGAACAAGCUCAUAAAUACAAAAAUUAAAGGCAUAACAAGAAAAUAACAU